rnacentral:rRNA from 1 species
CCUACGGGAGGCAGCAGUAGGGAAUGUUGCGCAAUGGGGGAAACCCUGACGCAGCAACGCCGCGUGAGAGAUGAAGACCUUCGGGGUGUAAAGAGCUGUCAGUGGGGACGAAACCUGACGGUACCCACAGAGGAAGCACCGGCUAACUCCGUGCCAGCAGCCGCGGUAAUACGGGGGGUGCAAGCGUUGUCCGGAAUCAUGGGGCGUAAAGAGUUCGGAGGUGGCACGUUAAGUCUGGUGUUAAAGGCGGAAGCUCAACUUCCGUAGGGCACUGGAUACUGGCGAGCUUGACUGCGGGAGAGGUCACGGUCAUUCCUGUUGUAGCGGUCUAAUGCGUAGAUAUCCGGAG